rnacentral:rRNA from 1 species
AGUGAACGCUGGCGGUAGGCCUAACACAUGCAAGUCGAACGGCAGCACAGUAAGAGCUUGCUCUUACGGGUGGCGAGUGGCGGACGGGUGAGGAAUACAUCGGAAUCUACUUUUUCGUGGGGGAUAACGUAGGGAAACUUACGCUAAUACCGCAUACGACCUACGGGUGAAAGCAGGGGAUCUUCGGACCUUGCGCGAUUGAAUGAGCCGAUGUCGGAUUAGCUAGUUGGCGGGGUAAAGGCCCACCAAGGCGACGAUCCGUAGCUGGUCUGAGAGGAUGAUCAGCCACACUGGAACUGAGACACGGUCCAGACUCCUACGGGAGGCAGCAGUGGGAAAUAUUGGACAAUGGGCGCAAGCCUGAUCCAGCCAUACCGCGUGGGUGAAGAAGGCCUUCGGGUUGUAAAGCCCUUUUGUUGGGAAAGAAAAGCAGCAGGUUAAUACCCCGCUGUUCUGACGGUACCCAAAGAAUAAGCACCGGCGAACUUCGU